AGUGGCAUUCGAUAAAGUUAAAGUGAAAUGGCACUAGAGAUAGUGUGAGGUAAAGAACCAAUGUAAUGUAAAGAAUGAUGAAAAUGACAAUGUUUAAAGUUAAGGUAAUGUGGGGAGUAAAGAACGUGAAGUGCUAGAGGUAGCCAAAAGUAAAGAAUGUAAAGAAUAUAAUUGUUAGAGUUAGCAAGAGUAAUGAAUGCUAAAGAACAAUGAUUGCUAGAGUGGCAACAAAAAGUGAUGAAAGAACACUAGAG
rnacentral:lncRNA from 1 species